AAACGGGAAAAAUCCCAUGGAAAAAUCCUGGGGGGAAGGGAGCUACUGCAUGGGCGCCUGCAAACUAUGCGCGCGCACGGGCACAGUGGGGGCAGGACGUGUGCAUAGCGCAUGUGUCCCAUCCACAUGCGCGGCGCGGGGUCAAACCCAGCACGCAUCUUAUCGCGCGUCAGCGAGCCCUCCGUGCGUCACCUCGCAUGCUGUCCGCGCAACAGGCUUGCGCAAAUAGGCAACUGUGCGCCUGGGGUCUACAGGCAGUAAGUCUGCACACGAGGAGGCUAGCUUCUGCGUAAGCGACUAGAGGGUCGUGCGCCAGUAGGUUAGCUUACAGCGCCUAGGCGGGCCAUUGCCACCUCAGGCAGUGUGCCACCGGCAAAGGAGACUCUCCUCCCUCGUUUUUCAUGCCGAGCAUCUUUUUUCUCUCUCUCUUCAUCGAAUUUCACCACUUGGCAUGAAU
rnacentral:lncRNA from 1 species